rnacentral:rRNA from 1 species
UUCGUAGGCGGUGCGGCAAGUCGGGAGUGAAAUCUCUGGGCUUAACUCAGAGGCUGCUUCCGAAACUGCUGUGCUCGAGUGUGGGAGAGGCGCGUGGAAUUGCAGGUGUAGCGGUGAAAUGCGUAGAUAUCUGCAGGAACACCCGUGGCGAAAGCGGCGCGCUGGACCACAACUGACGCUGAGGAACGAAAGCUAGGGGAGCAAACAGGAUUAGAUACCCUGGUAGUCCUAGCCCUAAACGAUCAGGACUUGGGGUGGCGCCCGUUCGGGCGUCGUCCCGGAGCUAACGCGUUAAGUCCUGCACCUGGGGAGUACGGUCGCAAGACUGAA